rnacentral:sRNA from 1 species
CUUGCUUGUAGCAGAGAAAACAUCUGCUUUUGUUCGGGAAAAAAAAAAUUCAAAAUUUGUGAAAAAUAAAGAAAAAUCGUUUUUGGAAAAAAAUUUCGGUAAAAGUGAAUAAAAUUCAAAGUUAAAUAUAAAUUUUUCGUUGUUGGAAAUACUCGUAAAUUUCCUUUCAUAGUGCGCAUAAAGCUGCUGCUGCAUUUCGAUUGACAUUAGACACAACAGAUUGACAAACGAUAACGUGAAAUAGUUCCAAAUGGUAACGAAAUUUUCGAAAUUUGUCUGUCAUUAUGGAUGAACAACAAGUCCCCAACGCAACAUUAGUUUACAUUUUUAAUCAUCUUUAAUACUGACACCAGGCGUACACACUUUGUAUGAGUCUUUGCAAUGCAGCUUACAUUCAACAAGACAACGACUACCUAUACUUCAAUACUUCAAUACCAAAUUGCGGCGGUCAUUAUUGAUGCUUACACUUUAGAUUUAAUUGAAUGUGAAAUUAUUAUAUACUGGCGUGCAGCCCCUGCCCUCUAACAAAAAACUAAUGAACACAGUUCGGUGUGGUACCGGUGCCUCAUACACAGGACGAGCAGAUUGCACCCGCAACUUUUCUUUUAGGUGUGACAAUACAUCUAAUUUCAAAACAGGGAAUACUCUAAUACAAAUAUUCCACAUACACCGCAAGUGCCAUGAACAAUAAAUAAUAUAUUUUAUAA